GUUUUCAGAAAACACAUUAAAAAUUUAUUUUAAAUAUAUUAUAAAAGGAAGUCCAUUCAACUUUAAAAACACUAGGCAUUCUAUCAAUGAUUCCCAAUUUAUGAAAGCUACUACAUUAAAGUGCUACAAGUCCUUUACCACCCCCAGAUAUUAGGCUGUUGCUCCUAAUACGCACAAAAUAAAUACACACUGAUUCAAGAGGCACCAUCCAGUUUUACAGAGAAAUGCAUGCAGUACAAGGUACAGACAAACUUAGACCUAAUCACCGAGAUCCUAGAGGAUGCAUUUUGAAACCAAUUCCCUUCUCCACCCUAGAGGCUAAAGCUAUUUGUUGCUGUUACUGUGAGGGCUAAAGUUUCAGGCUGUUAGCUUGAUCAGUUUUUAUCUUGUUUUGUGGUUGAAGUUCACAUUUGUUUGCUCAAUACCAGGGAUUAAGACUUUCCUUCAUGCGUUGAACCAGUAUAUUUAAAACCACAUUGAUCCAAUGGCUUUAUAUAAAACUCCCAAAUCACUGACAACUGCUGGAAUCAUUGAAGCCUUUUGGGUCAUACAGAAGCAUCAAGAAAGCUCAAAUGCAGUUAAUUAAGGAGUGUACUCAGCUAGCAGAGGCAGAGUCAAAAACAGACACAGGCUUUUCGUUAGGGUUUCCAUGAUCUAUCAUUCCUAGUUUUAUACAGAUCCUCCAAGCUAAAGCAUGGCACUACAAAGUAGAAAUCAGAGCAGGAGGUGAGCUUAUUUUGGUUACACUUCAAAUUUAUAAUGUGAAUAAAUCAAUCUGACUGGUUAAUGAGGAAUAUGAAAUGAAUUGAUGACUCUGUGUUGAAUGCUGAUGGCAAUUUCAGAUCUCAUUUCCCAUUCUCCACCCACUGCAUCUCUCUCCAAUUGAACCAGGUGAGGAUUUCCAGCUUGUUUUAAAAUCUGGACUCAAGACUCAUUAGGUCAGAAAAUAAAGCACUUAAAGGUGAAUCCUACACAAGCUGGGAAACUGCAGCAUAGACUUUCCUUGCUUAAGAUCGAGUAAGAGGCCAUGGCAGCCAGGGAGCAGCACCCAGUGCUCCUGACUCACAAGGCAGCUGCCCUUUGCUGUGACACCACCCAGUGAAUCCACAAACCCCAGCAGCAGGGAGUGCAUGUGGGACACAAGGUGCAUCACUUGGGCUGUUUCACACAGGGCUUUACCAGGGCUCCUGUGACAGGCUGACUGCCAGAGGCUGGCUGUUCUCUCCAAUCAAUUCUAAGUCCCUGUCUGUAUCCUGAAAGACAAUUUAGAAUAAAAUCUCCCCCCUUUUCACCUGGCAGUUCCAUGAUUGCCCAAUCUGACUAUUAGGAGAUGUCUCCCCUGGGUGAUGUGAGCCAGGAGAGCUGCUGUCACAGCCCUGCAGCAGCGCCAGAGCACUGUGCUCCUGCAAUGCUGCUGGUGCCUGUUUGACUCUCAGGUCACUGAUCUCAGUGCAGCAGGGAGAAGGAAAACUGCUGUAAAACAAACCACGAGGAAAGUUAGGCUGAGAAAUUGCUUUCUUGCUACUUCUGUAUUUGAGAUUUGAAUACACUCUUGAAAAAGUUUCCUAUUGAUGGAAGGCAUCAACUUCUUCUGAAAGACACUUCUGCUACAGAUUUUAUAUGCUUUUGGGACUAUAUGUAUUUUGCAUACAUAGAAAAUAAAAUGCAGGAUCCUGCAUGCCAGUGAAAUCAUGAGCCUUCACCAUGAGGUGAAACAUCCAGCAGCUAACCAAGAUUAUCUUCCAGUACAGCUUCAGCUGUUACAACACACCCAGAGGAAGCUGCCAGCCUUUCCAAGUCUUCCUAUUAGGAGUGACAAACCUCCCCAGAGUCAUUAACCAGAUCGAUUUAACAGAGGGAACCCAGGAGCUUCUGAAUUACUGUCGUUCACACAAAUUUUGCACUGAAAAUCAGACAUUAAAAAAAAAAAAUCCCACACACAAACCCUGCAGGAGUCAAGCUUUCUUUUACAUCCUUAUCCCCCAACCCCUUUUCCUCUUCUCUCUUGUCCAGCAAGGCACUAGGAAAUGGUUCAAGUUUAAGCAUUUGCUGUACAUUUACAUUUAAAAAGGCACAUCUUUAUUUUAAUGAUGCUGUAUUCCCCUUUCAGGAAGGCUCACACUUUCUUCUAUUGUGGUUUGAAAAAGAGAAUUAAUUUCCUAGGUAUGAGAAAAGACACCUUGCACACAUGAGAGCCCCAAACCUAUUUACUGUCUGUAGGCCUUAGAGAUUAGCACCAAGUAUAGAUCAACAACAGCUUCAAGAGCAAAUCAAAGUAUUUUUAUGCAACAUAACACACACCCUGUUGUCUGGGAUUCUGAUACUUAAAAGCAGCAAAACAUAUGCAGCCACAAAAAGAGGGUGUUUCAAUACCUUUGGGGGGAAAAGAUGAAAACAUGUAUUUGGCAUUCGAUAAUCACCAGUAUUUAAUCUCCAGUCUUGACUUGCAUGCAGAUGUGAAGAUUUGAUUAUGUAGUCAUGCUUUAGUGAUUUUGCUUACAAAUAACCAAAAGUAAUUGAAAUAAUUAAUCAGAUUGCCCUGCAAAGGCUCAGUUAAAGAUGCAGAUGAUAAAAUACACCUUAUAUUUCUCAAUCAGUGGAUGGUUGGCUAAUAUUAAGUCUUUGCAUUAGUCAACAAAGCCUCUAGGGUACUGAAAAGUGUAACUGAUGCAAAUAAUUAAUAGCUCAAAACACAGUGAGCUAGUCAGAAGUGUACAGAAUUUGUGAGGCUCUUGCCCCACUCAGAUCCCAAACCUUCAGAAGAGAGAUCAACCACACUGAGAUGGACCUGGUACAACCACUGCCACUAAAUCUCCAGUUUCUGUGUACUGGUGGUGGGUUGUCAAAUGGAAUUGCCUCAACUAUUGCCUAGUCUGUUGGUGCAAGCUGCUAAGAGCUGACCUUUCUCUCCAAAUUAAGAUCACCAAGUGGUAAAAGACCUGUUCAUUGCUGCAGCUUGCCCUGAAGGAAGAAUCCAGUGAGCCAAGCUAGGGCUCCCUUCACAAGGUGAGCCCAAGUACAAAGCAAGCCAUGCAGUUUAGAAACAGAAGCUAAUCCUCUCAUUAGAAAACUAAGACACACAAAGCUGCAACCUGCAAGCAGAAUAACCUACAGUCCAUUUAUAGAAUAUGCUGAUUGUGUCCCAGUUAUAAAAAACUAGCACUGUUCAUGGACAAACAGCUUCUUGUUCCACAGGCAUUAAAACAUUCAUAAAGACAUCUAGUCAGGCCAUCUAGUGGCUCCACAGUCAGCACUGCUCUGCUAAUGAGAGCAUUAAUAACUUAGGGAAAGCAGCAGUCAGACACGAAGUGCUGGAAGGUGACUCUGGCUCCCACAGAAAUGCAAAGGGAUCCUAAUGAUAGACAUACUGUAGUAACUGAGAACAUAAGAUGUCAACUCUGCUUGAAGCUGGUCUCACUUCCACCUAAUACUGCUGCAGAACUGUCAUAAAGGAAGUCUAGGGCUGUUUUUCUUUCUUUAUUGCCAAAAUCUUAGACAUCAAAAUCUGGAAAGUCCGGUCCCAGCUGCAAAUGCAGUGGCCAUGUUUCCUGUUCUCCAUGACUGCAUGGACCAGCUAAGUUGGCAGGAAGGGUCAGACGUGGCCUCAGUGGUGUGGAUCAGACAGGUGGAAACGAUUCUGAGCCUCCUACACAAUCCUGGAGAGUUUGGGGGCAGGCAGCUGUGUCCUUGUUUGCUCCCAGCUGCCAGGCACGGCACUACAUGGCCUCCAACACAUCUGAAACACGGGACACAACCCUACAACUGGCAACAAAAGGGCUUUUUGCUUCUGGAGCUCUGCAGAGGGAGCCACCCUGCUUGUUUUGGGACACUAGGGUAGCAACUCCUUGCCUUCACAUGAACAACACCCCAGAGCAGAGCUUUCCUGCCCCUGAGGAGGGGCAAUGCUCAUCAAGCAUCCCACAGGGGUCCCAUCCCCAUCACCCCAGAGCUGGGUGCCUGCUACCUACUCUUGCAACACCCCUGCAUGGGCAGCUGGACAAACCAAGGAGCUGGGCAAUUCCUGGCAAAGGAAUCCUGUUUAUUAAUUUACACAGCAUCUGUUCACUGCGUCAUCAUUCACAGCUUUUACCAGAAAAUGUCACUGCUCCCUUCAGUACAAGACUAAGUCAGGGGAACCAGUAAAUGUGUUUUUGCAACAACUUCAUUUGAAACCAGAUUUUUUAAAAAUACUUGCUUCAGAUAGACUUGAACCAAUGAUCCUCCAUUCAUUCUUUAGUGUCAGUACAUUCCAGCUCCUAGGAUGAGACAAUCCUGGUUCACUGUCUGGCAGAUCCCACAGCCAAAGCAGAAGGGGUAACACCUUGUCUGCUCACUCACUGCACAAAAGAGAGGGUACCAGGAAAAUGGGUCAAUCAGUCCCACAUCUCUGCUAAAGCAAAUAGAUUUCCAGUCACAGUAAACUGCACAGUGCUGUGGGUGCUGGGAAAUGAGGAGAGAUUAAUUAGCACGUUUCCACAAGGCUAGAACACCACUGACCACAGGACUUAAGAAACUACAGACUGAUGAACAAACAGAUAAAGACCAACGGCUAAUCUCAGCCCUGAAUUUAUUAUCCUGAAUUAAUCUGCUCACACCAACUGUAAAUUAACUUAGCCUUCAAACUAGGAAAAAUGGAAAUUGUCUUCAUGCAGUAGAUUUAACUCAGAAAUCCUAGAGAUGUGUGUGCUAAAAAGGUUAUAUGAGGCAAAUUUGGAAUCUGAUAUCCAAAGGCUUUUAGCAUAAAGUCUUUAUCUGUAAGAACUGUGAUUAUUAAAAAACCCUCUGCUAAUCUUUCACCUUGAAGAUUCAACAGUGAGUGACAAACUGACUGCAAAGUGAAUGGACCAGAAACCCAGAUUCCUCAUGGCUAAUAACAACAGCCAUAUUCCCAACACUUGGCUGCACUUCCACUAGAGCUCAUUCCUUCAUCAGAGCUAUGAUUUGGAAAGUAAUAAUACUCAACCUGUUUGAAAUAUAUUUGGUUCAGGGCAAAAAAAUACACAUUUCAUGGGGUUUUUCUUUUUUUUUUUUUUUUUGAUUGGAGGCUUAAAUCUUGUCUUCAAUAUUUUACUUAUAUGGAGUUUGGAAGAUAAAGCACCUGUUUGGGAAUGCUUCAGUGGGUGGUAUAGCAGCUACAAAAAGUCCUGCAGGGUCCUGGAUAACAAAAUCAUUUAACACUAGACCCCAGUGGGAAAUAAA
rnacentral:lncRNA from 1 species